GCUCGCUUUGGCAGCACAGACUGAACUGGACAGCUACAGAGGAGACCAGCACGGCUCCUGCGCAAGCAUCACCUGCAAGUCUGUGAAGCGCUCCAUAUUUUC